UACGAAGGGUGCAAGCGUUACUCGGAAUUACUGGGCGUAAAGCGUGCGUAGGUGGUUUGUUAAGUCUGAUGUGAAGCCCUGGGCUCAACCUGGGAAUUGCAUUGGAUACUGGCAGGCUAGAGUGCGGUAGAGGAUGGCGGAAUUCCCGGUGUAGCAGUGAAAUGCGUAGAGAUCGGGAGGAACAUCUGUGGCGAAGGCGGCCAUCUGGACCAGCACUGAACACUGAGGCACGAGGGUCAGGGAGCAAACGGG
rnacentral:rRNA from 1 species